rnacentral:rRNA from 1 species
AACGUACGCUGGCGGCACGCCUAACACAUGCAAGUCGAACGAAGUAGCAAUACUUAGUGGCAGACGGGUGAGUAACAUGUGGGUAUCUGCCCUUUGGCCUGGAAUAACACGAGGAAACUUGUGCUAAUACCGGAUAAGUCUUUACGGAGAAAGCUUUAUGCACCAUUGGAUGAGCCCGCACUUGAUUAGUUUGUUGGUGGGGUAAUGGCCUACCAAGACUGUGAUCAAUAGCUGAUUUGAGAGGAUGAUCAGCCACAUUGGGACUGAGACACGGCCCAAACUCCUACGGGAGGCAGCAGUGGGGAAUCUUGCACAAUGGAGGAAACUCUGAUGCAGCGAUGCCGCGUGAGUGAAGAAGGCCCUUGGGUUGUAAAGCUCUUUCGUCGGGGAAGAAAAUGACUGUACCCGAAUAAGAAGGUCCGGCUAACUUCGUGCCAGCAGCCGCGGUAAUACGAAGGGACCUAGCGUAGUUCGGAAUUACUGGGCUUAAAGAGUUCGUAGGUGGUUGAAAAAGUUAGUGGUGAAAUCCCAGAGCUUAACUCUGGAACUGCCAUUAAAACUUUUCAGCUAGAGUAUGAUAGAGGAAAGCAGAAUUUCUAGUGUAGAGGUGAAAUUCGUAGAUAUUAGAAAGAAUACCAAUUGCGAAGGCAGCUUUCUGGAUCAUAACUGACACUGAGGAACGAAAGCAUGGGUAGCGAAGAGGAUUAGAUACCCUCGUAGUCCAUGCCGUAAACGAUGUGUGUUAGACGUUGGAAAUUUAUUUUCAGUGUCGCAGCGAAAGCGAUAAACACACCGCCUGGGGAGUACGACCGCAAGGUUAAAACUCAAAUGAAUUGACGGGGACCCGCACAAGUAGUGGAGCAUGUGGUUUAAUUCGAAGAUACGCGCAGAACCUUACCAACACUUGACAUGUUCGUCGCGACUCUAAGAGAUUAGAGUUUUCGGUUCGGCCGGACGAAACACAGGUGCUGCAUGGCUGUCGUCAGCUCGUGUCGUGAGAUGUUGGGUUAAGUCCCGCAACGAGCGCAACCCUCACUUUUAGUUGCCAUCAUUAAGUUGGGCACUCUGAAAGAACUGCCAGUGAUAAGCUGGAGGAAGGUGGGGAUGACGUCAAGUCCUCAUGGCCCUUACGUGUUGGGCUACACACGUGCUACAAUGAUAUCUACAACAGGAAGCAAGGCUGCGAGGUCGAGCAAAUCCUUAAAAGAUACCUCAGUUCGGAUUGCACUCUGCAACUCGAGUGCAUGAAGCUGGAAUUACUAGUAAUCGUGGAUCAGCGUGCCACGGUGAAUGCGUUCCCGGGUCU